UACGUAGGGUGCGAGCGUUGUCCGGAUUUAUUGGGCGUAAAGGGCUCGUAGGCGGCGUGUCGCGUCGGGAGUGAAAGACCGGGGCUUAACCCCGGCUCUGCUUCCGGUACGGGCAUGCUGGAGUGUGGCAGGGGAGACUGGAAUUCCGGGUGGAGCGGUGAAAUGCGUAGAGAUCCGGAGGAACACCGACGGCGUAGGCAGCGCCCUGGCUGUGAAUAAAGCUGACACUGAGGCACGAAAGCUGGGGGAGCAAACAGG
rnacentral:rRNA from 1 species